rnacentral:rRNA from 1 species
GACGAACGCUGGCGGCGUGCUUAACACAUGCAAGUCGAACGGUGAAGCGCCUUCCUUUUUGGUGGGUGUGGAUGAGUGGCGAACGGGUGAGUAACACGUGAGUAACCUGCCCCCUUCUUCUGGAUAACCGCAUGAAAGUGUGGCUAAUACGGGAUAUUCUGGGUCUGUCGCAUGAUGGGUCUGGGAAAGAUAUUGUUUCGGUGGGGGAUGGGCUCGCGGCCUAUCAGCUUGUUGGUGGGGUGAUGGCCUACCAAGGCGGUGACGGGUAGCCGGCCUGAGAGGGUGGACGGUCACACUGGGACUGAGACACGGCCCAGACUCCUACGGGAGGCAGCAGUGGGGAAUAUUGCACAAUGGGCGCAAGCCUGAUGCAGCGACGCCGCGUGAGGGAUGGAGGCCUUCGGGUUGUGAACCUCUUUCGCCAGUGAAGCAGGCCUGCCUCGUUUGUGGGUGGGUUGACGGUAGCUGGAUAAGAAGCGCCGGCUAACUACGUGC